AUGAAAUAUGAUAUGUCAAGAGCUUUGUAAUGUUUUGAACAACCAAUUAAAAAAAAGUGCAAAAAAAAAAAAAAGAAAAGAAAAGAAAAACACAUAAAUGAUGCAGCAGGCCCCAAUUUCCAAUGAUGGGAGGCAAAUGUACUGGCAUACGGUAACCACAACUCGGGUAGCUUCUUCAGCAGGAAGGGCUUUGGCAGAUUUGAGUAUCAGGCCAAAGGCUUUAUAUCCACAGGCACAUGGCUUUAUACAAAGGGUUUGCUUUCUAUGCAAACGCCAUGGAAAGCACUGUUGCCCACAUUGGUUUGGUCAACUUCACUUACAGAUGCAAUACGUGAGAACAAUUAUUAUUUCCUAAUAAAACAAUGGCUAGACACAUUGACUAAGGGAAGGGAGGAAAUCACAUUUGUAGGCAAUUGACAAAUAGCCAGUCCCUUUCACAUUGGUUUUGUCCACUUAAAAAAGCCUAUAUCUAAGCCAGGUGUUGUGGCUCACACUUGUAAUCCCAGAUACUGAGGCAGGAGGAUCCAAGUUCUAGGACAGUUGAGGUAAUUUAUUGAGAUCCUGUUUCAAAAUAAAAGUACUUUAUUUGUUUGUUUAUUUAUUUAUUUGUAGAACUGGGGAUAGAACCCAGUGCCUCCUCAUGCUAAGAAAGUACUCUGCCACUGAGCUAUAUCCCCAGCAAAUAAAUAAAUAAAAACACAAAGGGCUGGGGAUAUAGCUCAGUGCUUACCUAGCAUGUGCAAGGCCAUGGGUUCAAUCCCCAGUGCUGGACAGGGGAGUAGCAGGGAGCCUGGAUUCAGUGUGCUGGCUUUUCAGCCUCAUUUGGCAGUUCCAAACUACAUUCCAGGGGAGCAGCAAUGAGAGAGCUCCAGGGCCCUGUGGUUGGGACUCCCCAGCUUCUAAGUCUCAGCCUGGCCACUACAUCUCUUGGGGGGCUAUGGAAUAGCAGUGCCCCUACACCUCAAGGAAUUAGAGAUGAUAGAAAAGCAUUUACAAAGUGCCACUGCUAUCCUUACUGCUGAUCCAUGGCAAAUGUAUUGUUACUCACCCUUGUUACUGGAGGCCUGUUGUGUCUAGGGACAUUACUAGAGUAUGCACCUGCUCUAUUACUGAGCUACACAUGCAAUCCAACUGCAGUUUUUAAUACUAUGCAUUAUGAUUUACAUUUUUGAUACACACACAUAUGUAUUUCUGGAUUGUAGCAAUAUAUUGUGAAGUUCCUAGUACAGUUAUAUGACAGGCUAGAAAAACAGGCCAAUUCUUUGUUUUUGGUUUGUUGAUUCUAUUUGUUUUUGGCACUGGAGAUCAAAGCCAGGGGCAAUUUACUACUAAGCUACAUACCCAGUCCUUUUGUAUUUUUGAGACAGCGUCUUGCUAAGUUGCUGGGCAUCUUGCUAAAUUGCAAGGUUGGCCUAAACUUGUGAUCCUCCUGUCUCAGGCUACGGAAUCAUUGGGAUUAGAGGUAUGAGCCAUGGCGCCCAGCUUGGCCAAUUCUCGAUAGAUAAAAACAUUGUCCAAUGUGACCAUUUUUAAGUUUUAAAGGCAAAUUUCUGAUAAUUGUCCGUGAUCAAUCUUAGUCAAAUAAGCUUGGGAAUCAGUGGGCAGCAGAGCAUGGGGAAGAGCAUUUCAGCUCUGCCACUUUCUAGCCUGUGUCAGUUGCCAGACCUCCCUCAGUGUGUUUUCUCUUCUAUUAAUGGGGCAAAAUAAGAUAUUAUUACUUGAAAAAAUAUACCUAAACAUUCUGCACAGUGCCCGGCACCCCAUAAAUUCUAAAUAUUAGCUCUCUAUUAUCUUAUUUUUAUUAUUAGAGAGUCCACUUGACAGGUGAUAAAAGUACAAGAUAAACAGGGUUGUUCAAAUCCCUUGGAAUUGAUAGAAUAAAUUCAUUAGGCCAUCUCUGCUGAAAAGUUAAUUAUUUAGAUUAAUUAGGGAGACAAAUUCAC
rnacentral:lncRNA from 1 species